GGAGAGAUGGCUCAGUGGUUAAGAGCACUUGUUGCUCUUGCUGAGGACCUGGGUUUGAUUUCCAGUAUCUACA
rnacentral:tRNA from 1 species